GACGAAGGGGGCUAGCGUUGUUCGGAAUUACUGGGCGUAAAGCGCGUGUAGGCGGUUGCCCAAGUCGGGUGUGAAAGGCCUUGAGCUCAACUCAAGAAAUGCACUCGGUACUGGGUGACUAGAGGACCGGAGAGGAUAGUGGAAUUCCCAGUGUAGUGGUGAAAUACGUAGAGAUUGGGAAGAACACCAGUGGCGAAGGCGGCUCACUGGCCCGGUUCUGACGCUGAGGUGCGAAAGCGAUGGGGAGCAAA
rnacentral:rRNA from 1 species